rnacentral:lncRNA from 1 species
GGAGAGGGUACAGCCCCCCUCACUGCUUGCAGCCCAGAGCCACUACAGGAUGACAGUCCUACGCAAGUGUGUCAGGGUGUGGCUACAGUAUGUGCACAAGAGAAGAUGCCUGCAGUCACUGCAGGCCAGAGCACUCGGUCAUUUUCAGCAGCGAGCACUGCCUGCUGCCUUCUACACGUGGUACAGAGUCUGGCGAUGGCACCAGCAGAGACGGACCCUCCACACCAGAGCAGUGCGUUUUCACAGAGAGGCAUUAGAGAAGCAAGUAUUUGCUCUCUGGAGGCAGAAGGUGUCUCAGCAUCGAGAAAUCCGCUUGGCUGAGAGAAUGGCUAUGCUGCAGGCAGAGCAGCAG